rnacentral:rRNA from 1 species
CACGUAGGGGGCGAGCGUUGUCCGGAUUCAUUGGGCGUAAAGGGCGCGCAGGCGGCCCGGAAAGUCGGAUGUGAAAACUCGAGGCUCAACCUCGAGCGUGCACCCGAUACUGCCGGGCUUGAGGCAGGUAGGGGAGAUCGGAAUUCCUGGUGUAGCGGUGAAAUGCGCAGAUAUCAGGAGGAACACCUGAGGUGAAGACGGGUUGCUGGGCCAACACUGACGCUGAGGCGCGAAAGCCAGGGGAGCAAACGGG